CCCCAUUGUUGGGUGGAAUGGCAAUGCUCUGAAGUUCCGCUCGCUGCCCGGCAUUCUCUGCUCUGGUCCAUAGCAGCUGAAGGCAGUUGUGCCCUCUGUGAGCAAAUCUGCCAUCUCACACUGCCCAAUUCCAUGUGAGUGUUGUGUUCCUACAGGAGGCGCGGCUCGGAGAGGUGAGCAAGGCCUGUCCACUCCUCCCUUCAGGCCACUUUGUGAACAGUGGCUACCAGUGGUGCAGGGGGCACUGGCUUCCCUUGUCUGUGGCCAAGCAGUUGGAGGCACUCGUGCCCUCUGUGAGCGGUUCUGCCGUCUCGCACUGCCCACCUCGACGCGAGUGUCGAGUUCGUGGAGGAGGCGAAGCUCGCGCCCGCGACUGGUCAGUCAGUUGGAGGCACUCGUGCCCUCUGUGAGCGGCUCUGCCGUCUCGCACUGCCCACCUCGACGCGAGUGUCGAGUUCGUGGAGGAGGCGCAGCUCGCGCCCGCGACUGGUCAGUCAGGUGAGCGUGACUUUGGG
rnacentral:lncRNA from 1 species